rnacentral:rRNA from 1 species
UACGGGGGGGAGCAAGCGUUGUUCGGAUUUACUGGGCGUAAAGGGCGCGUAGGCGGCGUAACAAGUCACUUGUGAAAUCUCCGGGCUUAACCCCGGAGCGGCCAAGUGAUACUGUUGUGCUAGAGUGCGGAAGGGGCUACUGGAAUUCUCGGUGUAGCGGUGAAAUGCGUAGAUAUCGGGAGGAACACCAGUGGCGAAGGCGACUACCUGGCCUGUUCUUGACGCUGAGGCGCGAAAGCUAGGGGAGCAAACGGG